rnacentral:rRNA from 1 species
GAUGAACGCUGGCGGCGUGCCUAACACAUGCAAGUCGAGCGAUCUUCUUCGGAAGAGAGCGGCGGACGGGUGAGUAACGCGUGGGUAACCUGCCCUGUACACACGGAUAACAUACCGAAAGGUAUGCUAAUACGAGAUAACAUACUUUUCUCGCAUGGUAGAAGUAUCAAAGCUCCGGCGGUACAGGAUGGACCCGCGUCUGAUUAGCUAGUUGGUAAGGUAACGGCUUACCAAGGACACGAUCAGUAGCCGACCUGAGAGGGUGAUCGGCCACAUUGGAACUGAGACACGGUCCAAACUCCUACGGGAGGCAGCAGUGGGGAAUAUUGCACAAUGGGCGAAAGCCUGAUGCAGCAACGCCGCGUGAGCGAUGAAGGCCUUCGGGUCGUAAAGCUCUGUCCUCAAGGAAGAUAAUGUCGGUACUUGAGGAGGAAGCCCCGGCUAACUACGUGCCAGCCGCCGCGGUAAGAC